rnacentral:rRNA from 1 species
GGGGGGGGGCGGGGGCGGGGUGGGCGGGGGGGGGUGGGGCGGGGGGGCUCCUGCUUGCGGGGGGACUCGAGUGGGGGGCGGGUGGGUAGCCGGGGGGUGAUCUGCCCUGCCCUUCGGGCUGAGCCUGGGAGACUGGGUCUAGUAGCGGCUAGGACGAUGGUUUGGAUGCCAUUGUGGACAGUUUUUCGGUGUGGGCUGAGCUCGCGGCCUCUCAGCGUGUUGGUGGGGUAAUGGCCUACCACGGCUUCGCCGGGUAGCCGGCCUGAGAGGGUGUACGGCCACAUUGGGACUGAGAUACGGCCCAGACUCCUACGGGAGGCAGCAGUGGGGAAUAUUGAACAAUGGGCGCAAGCCGGAUGCAGCGACGCCGCGUGGGGGAUGACGGCCUUCGGGUUGUAAACUCCUUUCGCUAGGGACGAAGCGCAAGUGACGGUACCUGGAGAAGAAGCACCGGCUAACUACGUG